GGUGUUGCGGCGUUCAGUUACCGUUGUCGGUUGAUCAGUUCAGUUUCCAGUUGUAGUCUCGAGUCGGACGUUGCCGCGUUGUCCAGACAGGAUGCGUUAUUCUAAUUCUAGUUCGUUUCAGAAGUUAUCGUUGCUCUAAUGCUCUGGUAGCGUUGCGGCAACGGCACUAACUAAUGGCAAUGCAUGUUUUCGUUUUCGUUGUCCGCGGUCCGCGCGGCUUUCCUGCAACAUUGUGUUGGUAGAUACGUUAUUAUAAUAACAGGGAGUUCUCGGCAACGUGUUGCCGCGAUAACGUUGCCGUGGCCGCAACACUGUUAUUCAUCCUGUUAUGUUAAAUAACGCCCAUCUCUACAGUGUUUAGUUGAGAGUAACUGCAGAGGCUAACUGCACAGUUAUCAUCACACUUAAUGAUAAGCUUGAUUUGACCAACAAGAGCAAAUAGGAAGAAACAGGAAUUGCUUUUCAAGUGCUUGAUAGUAGAUACAAAUUACUGUAGACUUGCUCAAGAGAGUAAUGUUGCAUGUUUAGAGUUGAACAGGAAAGGAUAUUAAAACAUGGAGGAUGAAGAUUUAAAACGGUUGCUGGAUCGGAUAGAGGUGCUGUAUGCGGUGCCACAGCUCUGUCCUAAUGAAAUGUGUAUGGUUGUUACCUUCUUGGAUAAUCACUCUAAGUACUGUGUUUACAGACAGAUAAAGUGUACCAAUUGUCAAUGGUUUGGAGCCGUCAUUGAGUGGAUUGAACAUGUUAAAACACACAAUUCCAGUGUUCUAAAAUUAAAUGUCACCAAAUGCUUAUACAUCAAUGAUUUCCUGGACGGUUGGAAAUCUAAGUAUUUCAAUUAUCCAAUUGAAGACCAACAUUUUAUUUUUAAAUGUUGGAAGAAAGGAAACAAAUUGUAUCACAGCUUCAGACAUGUUAUGUGUGAGAGAUCUAGUGUUGAGUACAGUGUGAUAUUUGAGUACAAUCGUUGCCAGCAAACUGUGUAUAGAACUUUGAUUGAAGUCUUGCCAUAUGAGGAUGAUGAGUCCAUGGAGAACAAUGCAGCGGUUUUUCCUAUUGACGAAUUAGAGGAACUGGUUGAUGAGGAUGGCCAUUUGCCAGUCUUUGUCACAGUAAAAUCUAAAUCGUUUUUUUUAUUAAAGUGAAAUAACUAUGUAAAACUUUUUGUUGCAUAUUUGUAUAAGAAAUGAAAUAACACAAUUGCGAGGCAUUUUUUUCUACAUUAGCAUAUAUGCAUUAUAAUUAUAUUAAUCAGAGGUAUGGUAUAGCAUAUUAUUUUUCUUGUUUUGUAUUCAUUAAAAAACCUUGGGGAAUGUUUUGCUUUAGGGUAAAAAAGAAUGUACAAUAAAAAGUUUUUUUCUUGA